rnacentral:lncRNA from 1 species
AGUUGAGAAUGAGGGAGUCAAGGUAGAUGGAAUAGAAAACGGUGUCGUGCGGCGGGUGGUGUUUUUGGUUGAAGAUGGAUGAAGGAGGUGACUCAGUUGAUGGUUCCAUUCUUGUCUUGUGUUGAGCUUAAGCUUUCACUUUCAGUGCUGAUUCUACUCUAUUCUAUUCUAUUCUAUUCUAUUGCUAAUUUCUUCAGUUUUCUCGUUCU